GUUCCAGCUUUAAAGUGCCAACCACGAACUAUGAGAGAGAGAGAGAGAAAGCCAGGAACUGGAAGUAGGAGCCAGGAGCUGAAAAUGACUGACACUGAAAAAAACCCAGGCCUGGAGGGUAAUUCUAGAGCUCACUGAUGGAGACAGGGCAGAAAAGCAAUGGUGACAUCUCAUUCCAAGGAAUUAGGGGAUAUAACGUUGGAGAGUUUUUAAGUUGCCCCCGAAAGGACUACGCUUAGAGCCAGCACAG
rnacentral:lncRNA from 1 species